AACCAGCUCUUCAAGUGGUCGGGAUGAUUAUUGGGCUUAAAGUGUCCGUAGCCGGUUUAGUAAGUUCCUGGUAAAAUCGGGUAGCUUAACUAUCUGUAUGCUAGGAAUACUGCUAUACUAGAGGGCGGGAGAGGUCUGAGGUACUACAGGGGUAGGGGUGAAAUCUUAUAAUCCUUGUAGGACCACCAGUGGCGAAGGCGUCAGACUGGAACGUGCCUGACGGUGAGGGACGAAAGCCAGGGGAGCGAACCGGAUUAGAUACCCGGGUAGUCCUGGCCGUAAACGAUGCAUACUAGGUGAUGGCCCGGCCAUGAGCCGUUGUCAGUGCCGUAGGGAAACCGUUAAGUGUGCCGCCUGGGAAGUACGGUCGCAAGGCUAAAACUUAAAGGAAUCGGCGGGGGAGCACCACAAGGGGUGAAGCCUGCGGUUC
rnacentral:rRNA from 1 species